rnacentral:rRNA from 1 species
UACGGGGGGGGGCAAGCGUUGUUCGGAAUUACUGGGCGUAAAGCGCACGUAGGCGGACUACUAAGUCAGGGGUGAAAUCCCGGGGCUCAACCCCGGAACUGCCUUUGAUACUGAUAGUCUCGAGUCCGGAAGAGGUGAGUGGAAUUCCGAGUGUAGAGGUGAAAUUCGUAGAUAUUCGGAGGAACACCAGUGGCGAAGGCGGCUCACUGGUCCGGUACUGACGCUGAGGUGCGAAAGCGUGGGGAGCAAACAGG